UUCAAUUUGGCAGAAUCUUAAUGCAAUAAAUUUAGAAUUUAUAGAUGAAAAAUUUCAAUUGAAA
rnacentral:tRNA from 1 species